AAAAUUAUGCAAAUUAAUUAUGUUACUUAAGAUGUCUAGUCAUGUAUUAUUUUACCUAGUUAAGUAUGUAUAUGUUAGUAACUUGAUUAGAAGGAAGGUUAUAUGACAAAUAAAAUAUCUAAGUAAAUAGGAGGACUAAACUUGUUAAAAGGUUGAAAGUUUAAUAAAUAAAAGAAAAAAAUAAAAAACACACACCCUGGUGUGAUGGCGUGGAUCGAUCAGAGCAAAGGGGGGAGAAGACAAACCCUAACUUCAUGAAAUUCUCAAGAAUUGAAAGAGAUUAGGAGCCCAAACUAAUGCAUGAACUCGAAACCUCAAUCAUCUAAGCUUGUACAACAAACGGAACGUGUCAAGGAGAGGUCAAGCAUAGGAGGAUAACGGGUCAAGAUAAGGCAAGAUGACAAAUACACUUAUUGGAGUACUCGAGGUAAGUGAAUUUCGAUUCACUUUUUAGUAGGUUUAAUAGAAUUUAAUACUUAUGUUUACGAAACAUCAUGAAAGAACAUGUAAUAAUCAGAAGUACAAAGCCAAUAAUGCCUCAUUAUUGAAGAAGGUUGUAUUUAAGCCGAAAGUAAAUUGGUGGGUUUAAACGGGUCGAAUUUUAUGUGCAUAUGUUGCGUAAUGAAAUGAAAUUCGUUAUGGUUAAGACCUUGGGUAAGAAUUUUAGUCAUUAUGUAAGGGGAACAUUUCCCGGACCAUUAGGUACAAGUUUUAUAUGAUUCGGUUGUCGGUCAAUGAAUGAACGGAUUGUUUCGUUUUAGUGUAGGAAAUUUUAUAAGUAUAUGUGUAUAGGAAUCCAAAGGCCACGUGGGUUGAAUCGUAGAUUGUCUAUACUAUGUAAAGUUUUGAAUGUGACAUUCCGGCAUAAACCUACAUGUAAAAGAAGCUUGUGUAUAUAUUCGUGAUUAAUUGAUUGUGCGAAGGAAGGAACAUUGGCAUGAAUGAAGGUACGCACAUAUAUAUAUAAGUGUAUAUAUAUAUAUAUGUAUGUAUGUAUGAUAAUAAGUACGUAGGUGUGAAUGUAUGUGUGAAUGAAUGUUCAAUGCUUAAGACAUAUGCAUGAACGUAUCAAAGGGUUCGAGUAUUUAUGGAUACUAAUGAUGUGCGUUGAGUUGGAAUGUAAUGUAGGUAUGGGGUCGUUGGCUUCAUGAAGAAAUGGAGCUGGAUUUGGAUAAGAGUAUUUAAGAAAGCGCUUGGACAAUUCCACGACUACUUUAUAGAAUGCUCUACGAAAUUUUAUUAUAUAGUUUAAUGUUGAAUGGUAUGUUGAUAACUAAUGGUUUGGUUGUACGUGGUGUCCACAGGUAUCGCUUGGGUUUUCUCUACUUUUAUUGAAGUGAAGCGGACUUAGUUCGAGUUGAGAGCAAGGAUUGUACGGGCUAGAAUGGUCACAUAGUGUAACUCAUAUAGGUUUUGAAGUAUUAAUGUUAUAAAACGUUAUAAAUCCGUUUUAAUGAAUAUAUGGCAUUUCGCAUUUGAACUUUCAUGUGUUUGAUAUGUCUAUUAAAGAACGAAAUUUUUGGGCUCUUGUUUUCCGCUGCGUCGUAUUUUAAGUUAUUACGCGUUAGUCUUACAGGGAAUUGUUCUUAUUACGAACGGGUCAUGCCCGAAUUUUGUUAAAUAAUAGUAUGAUAAUAUUACAUUUUGGAAUGUGUAAUUUGGGCGUAACAAGUUGGUAUCAGAGCCCUGGUUUGAGAGAAUUAAGUACGAGAGUAUAAGUACUUGAACUCAAACCUGUGUGCUCUUGUGAUAAGGAACCCGUACAAUCCAUGACUCGAUCAAGAUCUAAAGCUUAAGAUCUUGAAGAGGAUGAUCCGUGAAUACAGAAUGGGAUGAACGCUAAGGCGGGCAAAGGUGCAAAUAGGCAAAUUAACCCCAGGAACGUGUCAAGGAGAGGUCAAGCAUAGGAGGAUAACGGGUCAAGAUAAGGCAAGAUGACAAAUACACUUAUUGGAGUACUCGAGGUAAGUGAAUUUCGAUUCACUUUUUAGUAGGUUUAAUAGAAUUUAAUACUUAUGUUUACGAAACAUCAUGAAAGAACAUGUAAUAAUCAGAAGUACAAAGCCAAUAAUGCCUCAUUAUUGAAGAAGGUUGUAUUUAAGCCGAAAGUAAAUUGGUGGGUUUAAACGGGUCGAAUUUUAUGUGCAUAUGUUGCGUAAUGAAAUGAAAUUCGUUAUGGUUAAGACCUUGGGUAAGAAUUUUAGUCAUUAUGUAAGGGGAACAUUUCCCGGACCAUUAGGUACAAGUUUUAUAUGAUUCGGUUGUCGGUCAAUGAAUGAACGGAUUGUUUCGUUUUAGUGUAGGAAAUUUUAUAAGUAUAUGUGUAUAGGAAUCCAAAGGCCACGUGGGUUGAAUCGUAGAUUGUCUAUACUAUGUAAAGUUUUGAAUGUGACAUUCCGGCAUAAACCUACAUGUAAAAGAAGCUUGUGUAUAUAUUCGUGAUUAAUUGAUUGUGCGAAGGAAGGAACAUUGGCAUGAAUGAAGGUACGCACAUAUAUAUAUAAGUGUAUAUAUAUAUAUAUAUAUGUAUGUAUGUAUGAUAAUAAGUACGUAGGUGUGAAUGUAUGUGUGAAUGAAUGUUCAAUGCUUAAGACAUAUGCAUGAACGUAUCAAAGGGUUCGAGUAUUUAUGGAUACUAAUGAUGUGCGUUGAGUUGGAAUGUAAUGUAGGUAUGGGGUCGUUGGCUUCAUGAAGAAAUGGAGCUGGAUUUGGAUAAGAGUAUUUAAGAAAGCGCUUGGACAAUUCCACGACUACUUUAUAGAAUGCUCUACGAAAUUUUAUUAUAUAGUUUAAUGUUGAAUGGUAUGUUGAUAACUAAUGGUUUGGUUGUACGUGGUGUCCACAGGUAUCGCUUGGGUUUUCUCUACUUUUAUUGAAGUGAAGCGGACUUAGUUCGAGUUGAGAGCAAGGAUUGUACGGGCUAGAAUGGUCACAUAGUGUAACUCAUAUAGGUUUUGAAGUAUUAAUGUUAUAAAACGUUAUAAAUCCGUUUUAAUGAAUAUAUGGCAUUUCGCAUUUGAA